ACCAGGUGAACACACCUGUAUAGAACCAGUUUAUCCAUUAGAAAGGUAACACACUGUAUAGAAACCAGUAUACACUAGACAGGUGAACACACCUGUAUAGAACCAGUUAUACCAUUAGACCAGGUGAACACACUGUAUAGAAACAGUUAUCCCUAGACCAGUGAACAACCUGUAUAGAACCAGUUAUACCACUAGACCAGGUGAACACACCUGUAUAGAACCAGUUAUACCAUUAGAACCAGGUGAACACUCACUGUAUAGAACCAGUUAUACCACUAGACAGGUGAACACUCACCUGUAUAGAACAAGUUAUACCAUUAGACCAGUGAACACACACCGGUAAUAGAACCAGUUAUACCAUUAACCAGUGAAACACCACCUGUAUAGAACCAGUUAUACCAUUAGACCAGGUGAACACACCUGUAUAGAACCAGUUAUACCACUAGACCGGUGAACACACCUGUAUAGAACCAGUUAUACCACUAGACCAGGUGACACAACCUGUAUAGAACCAGUUUACCACUAGACCAGGGGAACACACCUGUAUAGAACCAGUUAUACCAAAGACCAGGUGAACACACCUGUAUAGAAACCAGUUAUACCAUUAGACCAGGUGAACACUCACCUGUAUAGAACCAGUUAUACCACUAGACCAGGUGAACACACCUGUAUAGAACCAGUUAUACCACUAGACCAGGUGAACACUCACCUGUAUAGAACAUUUAUACCACUAGACCAGGUGAACACUCACCUGUAUAGAACCAGUUAUACCACUAGACCAGGUGAACACACCUGUAUAGAACCAGUUAUACCACUAGACCAGGUGAACGCACCGACAGUGUUUUGCAAAAGUAUUCAGACCUCUUUGGAUUAUUUUACUUUUUAUUGUUUUACAAAUUAGAAUUCAAAUGGAUUCGUCCUUUUUUUGUCAAUAAUUUACACAAAAUACUCUGCAAUGUCAAAGCAGAAGAAAAAUUAAUUCAUAACUAAAAUAGAAUCGUUUGCAUAAGUAUUCAGCCACUUUGUUUAAGCAAACAUAAUAUUA
rnacentral:lncRNA from 1 species